ACGACCACCCAGGGCCGGAAAGUUGGUCAAACCCGGUCAUUUAGAGGAAGUAAAAGUCGUAACAAGGUCUCCGUAGGUGAACCUGCGGAGGG
rnacentral:rRNA from 1 species